UGAGGUGCGGGCAUAUAGACGAACCAGUGUGGAUGCUGGACCGUAGAGGGUGAGAGUCCCGUAGUCGAAAUGUGUUCCGCCGCUGUUGGAGGGUUGCCCGAGUAGCACGGGGCCCGAGGAAUCCCGUGUGAAUCUGCCAGGACCACCUGGUAAGCCUGAAUACUACCUGUUGACCG
rnacentral:rRNA from 1 species